GCAGGGGCCAGAGUGCAGGAGGUUUGAUCAGAGCCCCAGCAUCUCAGAGUUGGAGGGAGCUUAGUGGGCACGUGAUCCACCCCACCCAAGCACGCAUCCGUGAGCCCCAGCCAGGCAUGAGGCCUGUCUCAGUUUCCUCCUGUGCACGGUGGGGGCUGUGGAGGUCAUCUGCCUCCUCCCAGAGCUAGACAUCCUGCCUGGAGGACCCAGAGAUGGCUUCUUGUCAAGAAGCCAUUCAGGUUCACACGGGUGAUGCAGCGUCACUCAGCCUCUGGAUGGAGAGCAGCAGCGAGGAGCUGUGCUCACAGACCCUGAGACACAGCGCCCGUGUGUGCCCGAGGCUGCCAAGGCGUGGUGGAGGCUGGGGAGGAGGAGGUGCUGCUGGAGGCCAAGCUGAUGCCAGAGAUCAUCGGGGACCAUGCGGAGGGGGCUCCAGCACAAAGCUCAUGUUGAUCUCCUCCAUUUUGGAGCUGGAGCAGCUGGCCGAGAGCAUGCUGAGCAGGUGGGCCAUGUCUCCGUUGCUCAGCACAUCCACUUUACCAGGAGAAAACCAGCAGCGUUUGUGACUAAUGACAAAAGGGGAGAGAUGAGAGACGGCACCCCAGCCUGACAGGCAACGCAGGGCUGGAGGGAGGACAGGGGGCGAUGCGGGCAGCGCUGACCCUCUUGGCCCUGGGAUCUCCGUCCCCAGAGCCUUCCAGGUGCCCAUCAGCCCCUCCAGUGGUACCUGCGGAGCUCCUGCUGCAGGUGCAGAGCGCUCGUGCCUCAGGGACCAGCCGUUGUGUUGGGAGGAGCACCUUCUUCAUCUCAGCAACCACGUGAGACCAGAGCUAGAAGGUCCUUCUCCAAUCCUCCCAGUGGUUCUCACCUGGGUGCCCUGGGCAUGGGGUGGAGGGUGGGGACAAUGCUUCAGUCUGUGGCAUGUCCCGCCCCCCCUUACAUGACAGUGGUCUCCCCAACACCCCAGGCACUGGGUCAGCCCAAAGUGCCUCCAUGCAUUUCCCAAAGCCCUGGAGAGACAGUGCCGGCCAGGACGGGGGUGAAAACCUGGCCAGGUUCAGCAGGUAGAAGCUUCCAGGAACACUUUUCCUGACCCUGAGUCCAUGCCAACUGUACCUAUGAGUUGGGGGGCAUUGGUGACACUUCCUGCACCUCCAGUUCCCAGACAGACGUGGGGACAGUGCUCCUUCCAGGGCGGGGCUUCCGUGAAGUUAAGUGAGAUGGAUGCAGGUGGAGCAGGCGGCCCAGCACCUGCUGUCACGGUGAGUGGAAUCAGCACGGAAAGUCAAACACGGAGACACGGGGGGCCCUGCACCUCGGACUCUCCCGAGGACAUGACUGAUACAAUCCAGGCCUUCCCGCUUCUCUCAAAUAUGAGUGCCUGCCACGUCCUCCCCACAGCCCUGGGAGCUCGAUUCUUCCCACGUGGACCAGGGAGUUCUGGGUUCAGGGCCGAGCUGUUUCUGGAGCUUUCACAAGUGGGUGGGGGGAGGGAGGUCGCUGCUGCCUCCUGCUCCGGGCUUGGUCCAGGACCCCAGAGGCAGCCCUGAGCCGGACCGCCCGUGCUUCUGUGGCUGUGCGCCUUCACGCGUGGAGCCACGGAAUGGAGAAGGGGUCUCCGAGCCUUCAGCAGGCUUCUUCAACACAGCUUUCAGCUAGAAACCGCCCGGCACCACAGUUAGUGGACAUUUUUGUGGAUGUCACUCUUGAUUUUAAGACAAGCCACAAACUGGGACAAAAUAUUUUUAAAACACAUAUCUGGUAAAGAACUGGUAUUCGAAUAUACAAAGAACUCGAAACUCAACAAGAAAACAAACCACCCAAUUAAAAAAAUGGGCCAAAGAUCUGGACAGACACCUCACCGGAGAAGAUACACAGACAGCAAAUAAGUACAUGGAAAGAAACUGCCCAUCAUAUGCCACCAGGGCUUUGCAAAUUGAAACAACAAUGAGGUACCACUACACACCUAUUAGAACGGCUAAAAGCCCGAAUGCUGACACCAUGAAAUGCUGGCAAGGACGUGGAGCAUCAGGAAAGUCACGGCUGGUGGGAAUGCAAAACGGCGCAGCCACUUCGGGAGGCAGUUUGGUGGUUUCUUAUGAAAUUAAACAUAUCUUAACAUAAGAUCCAACUAUUGAGUUCCUUGGUAUUUUCCCAAGAGUUGAAAAUUUAUGUCCACACAGAAACCCACACAAGAAUGAUCAUAGUAGCUUUAUUUCAAACAGCCCCAAACUGCAAAGAACCCAAACGUCCUUCAAUAGGUGAAUGGUUAAAUGCACUGUGGUCCCUCCAGACCAUGGAAUACUACUCAGCAACAAAAAAGGACGAACUCUCCCUACACACAAAUCUCAGAAGGUCAC
rnacentral:lncRNA from 1 species